CCAUCACACUUUUUGGUUUUGUAACCACUUUUCUUUUUUGUUAGAGGUCAGUUACACCUCCAGUCAGACGACUGUUGUUCCUGGCUGCGACAUUUUCUAUGUUGAGGCUCCACCUGCUAUCCCUGCCCCUUCGGUGAUUCUGGAUGUGGAAAAGCUUCCACCUUGUCCAUGCAAGACACAGUGUCCAGAGUGUCGGCAGUUCAUCACAACAGAGACUUUUACCUCUGUCAGCAGCGUCACCUGGCUGGUGUGUUUUAUGACAGCUUUGAUUGGCUGCGUGGCUGGUUGUUGCUUCAUUCCCUUUUGUGUCAAUAAGUUCAAAUCUACCACACACCGAUGUCCUAAGUGCCGAACGUGUAUCAGAACUAUUAAAACGCUCUGAGAGAAAAGAAGCUGGUGAGAACUUGAAGCUCAAACUGAAAGAUUUUGACCUAAUGGUAAAGUAUAUCAGCAGCAUGACUCCCUUGCAGAGUUUAUCUGUUUGUGUUCACUAUCAUCCUACACCAACUUUGGUUUUAAUGGAGCCCAUGUCAGAAGGAAAGGAUAUGGUGUUUACUAAUAUAUUCUGCCUGUAUGUAGAUGUUUAUUAUUUAACAAAUAUUUAUCUAUAUAUUUAAAUUGAUAUUUCACUGAAAUAGAAAAUCUGAUCUACUGUAUAUUACGAUUCAAAUUUAUUGUUGUUCUUCAAAUGUCUAAAUUGAUUAAAAUUACCUAAACAUUCAGUUUUCUAUUAAGGCUUACAAAUGCGGUGAGCUGUUUUUUCAACUAAAAUAUACAAUUAAAGCCCUUCAUAUGUAUUUGUUAAAUUACAACCACUAAAGGUUUAAUGGCAAACUGGGGAUGGGCAUACAUUAGGUGAAAUCCUAAAUAAUCUCUAUGUUUUCAAAACUACUGCUAUAUUGUUAUCAAAGGUAACAUAAAUACCAUGUGUAAAACAAGGCAUUUAAAGUCAAGUCAAUUUAAUUUAUAUAGCCCAAUAUCACAAAUCACAAAUUUGCCUCAGGGGAUUCAUAAUCUGUACAGCAUGGCACCCUCUAUCCUUAGACCCUUGAUUUGAAUAAGGUAAAACGUCCCAAAAAUAACAACAAAAAAAAGAAAGAAACAGCAGGGAGAGAGAGACAAGGACAAUAUGCAUACAGGGCAUAUAGCGAGAGGCAAUAGGAGAAUCUGAAUCUCCUGGAGGAGGAAGAUCCAUAUCCACAACAUCUGAAGUGAGGCACCGGCAGCCAGGGGAGGGAGAGAGGUCCCAGGACAGCCCAUGGUCCAAAACAGAGAAGCCUGAGUGAAAAGAGAGGACAAGGAGGAGAAGCUAGGAAGAAAAAGAAAGAGAGAGUGAGUGAGAAAGCGGCGUACAGCUUGGAUAUGCAUGUGCUUGUGGGACAACAGACAAACAGGGUUAGAGAGAUGCAGUAGUUUUCAGAAUGUUUAGCGUAUCCUCUUUGGCAGGACAAAUGAACUAUAGCACUACUACGCUUAAUAGAUUGUGUCUGUUGAUGUUGAGU